rnacentral:rRNA from 1 species
GUAAAAGUCGUAACAAGGUUUCCGUAGGUGAACCUGCGGAAGGAUCAUUAAAGAGUAAGGGUGCUCAGCGCCCGACCUCCAACCCUUUGUUGUUAAAACUACCUUGUUGCUUUGGCGGGACCGCUCGGUCUCGAGCCGCUGGGGAUUCGUCCCAGGCGAGCGCCCGCCAGAGUUAAACCAAACUCUUGUUAUUAAACCGGUCGUCUGAGUUAAAAUUUUGAAUAAAUCAAAACUUUCAACAACGGAUCUCUUGGUUCUCGCAUCGAUGAAGAACGCAGCGAAAUGCGAUAAGUAAUGUGAAUUGCAGAAUUCAGUGAAUCAUCGAAUCUUUGAACGCACAUUGCGCCCCUUGGUAUUCCGAGGGGCAUGCCUGUUCGAGCGUCAUUACACCACUCAAGCUAUGCUUGGUAUUGGGUGCCGUCCUUAGUUGGGCGCGCCUUAAAGACCUCGGCGAGGCCUCACCGGCUUUAGGCGUAGUAGAAUUUAUUCGAACGUCUGUCAAAGGAGAGGACUUCUGCCGACUGAAACCUUUUAUUUUUCUAGGUUGACCUCGGAUCAGGUAGGGAUACCCGCUGAACUUAAG